UACGUAGGGUGCGAGCGUUAAUCGGAAUUACUGGGCGUAAAGCGUGCGCAGGCGGUUUUGUAAGUCAGAUGUGAAAGCCCCGGGCUUAACCUGGGAAUGGCAUUUGGGACUGCAAGGCUGGAGUGUGGCAGAGGAGACUGGAAUUCCUGGUGUAGCAGUGAAAUGCGUAGAUAUCAGGAGGAACACCGAUGGCGAAGGCAAUCCCCUGGGCCUGCACUGACGUUCAUGCACGAAAGCGUGGGGAGCAAACAGG
rnacentral:rRNA from 1 species